rnacentral:lncRNA from 1 species
ACUUGUGCCCAGAGUUUGAUUUUCCACAGACCAGGUAGAGGCCAAGAGCCUCUCACAGACUCUGCAGCAGGGUUGCUAUGAUUAACUCUUAAGUACUCCACAACUACACGCUUUUGAAACUGGCGUUGGCAUAGCGUUAGUUCUGUGCAGGGCGGACGCAGCAGGACAGAAUCUCCCUGGGCAUCUUUUCGGAGCAUCAAUUUUACUGCAAAAUUUUGAAAAAACAAAUUUAAUUGAUUUCCAAGGUUUGUCAAGGAGGACAGAAACUCAGAGCACCCUGCACUUGGGGAUCGGCACUAGGAGCUGCUCUCUGGAUGGGGAGAUGGGAGCUAGCAGCUCACAAUGGGGUCACAAGACAUCUGAAAAUACUCAGAAGUUACAAGAAUUCAUAAAAUACCCACCAAAGCUAAUAGAAAACAUGGAACCUUCCAGGACAAGAAGUAAAUUAAAAGAACAACCCAGAGGAGUAAUCAAAGUGAGAAGCCAGUGCCGCCUCCAGGUACUGGAUGAUCACAGGGACCUCAGGCUUUGGGGAUUAUUCAACUACCUUCUUGG